AUCUUUAAAAUUAAAAAUUUUGGCGGUAUUUUAGUCUGUUCAGAGGAACCUGUUUUUUAAUUGAUAGUCCACGAUAAUUUAAAUUUUAAUUUUAAAUUUAUAUAUCGCUGUAGGUUGAAUAUUUUAUUAUGGAAUGUUUUCAGGUCAAGGUGUAGUUUAUAUUAAAAUUAAAAUGGGUUACAAUAUAAAUUUGAAUUAAAUUGGAUUUGAAAGUAAGCUCUAAAAUAUGUACAUAUCGCCCGUCGCUUUCAUAUAAAGUGAAAUAAGUCGUAACAAAGUAGGCUUAUUGGAAAAUGAGCCUAGAAUGCAAAUUAGAGCUUGUUAAGCGUUUUAUUUACAUUAAAAAGUAGGUUGUUAAAUUCAAUUUAAUUUGAAAUAAAAAAUUUAUUUUAUGUAAGAAUUUGAUUACUUUAAUAAAAAAAUUUUAUUUUUUAGUUUUUUAUAGAAAAAAUAUAAUUAUAGUUUAUAGUAUUGUGAAAGAAUAUUUGAAAUUUAUAAAAAGAAGGAUUUAUUUUAUGUACCUUGUGUAUCAGGGUUUAUUGAUUAGAUUUUCUCGAAUUUAUAAGAGUUAGUUUUAUUGUAAAAUAAAUAUUUAUAAUAGUUAUUUAGUAAUGAAAUGUUAUUCGUUUAUAAAUAUAUCUAGUUUUUAUAGAAAUGUAUUUAAUUUAAAUUAAUAUAUUAAUAUGGGAUGAGCUUUAAGAUUUAUAUUUAUAAAAAUGGUUAGUUGAUAAAUUAUAGGAUUAGAAUUUUCUAUUUUUAAAAGGAUGUUAUAAUUAGUUUUUUUAAGUUUUUUAUUUAAAUAUAAAUUUAAAUUUAGUUUGUUUAGAAAAUAUGGUAAAAUUAGUAUAAUUAAUUUAAGGAAUUCGGCAAAUAAUUUUUACCUGUUUAAUAAAAACAUGUCUUUUAGAUAAUAAUUUAAAGUCUGGCCUGCUCAAUGAUUAAAUUGCUGCAGUAUUUUGACUGUACAAAGGUAGCAUAAUCAAUAGUUUUUUAAUUGAAAGCUGGAAUGAAAGGUUAGAUAAGAAAAAUACUGUCUUUAGAAUUUUAUUUUUAAGUAAAAAAGCUUAAAUUGUUUAAAAAGACGAGAAGACCCUAUAGAGUUUUUUUAUUGGGGUGAUAUAAAAAUUUAUUUAACUUUUUGUU
rnacentral:rRNA from 1 species